CCUACGGGUGGCAGCAGUGGGGAAUAUUGCACAAUGGGCGCAAGCCUGAUGCAGCCAUGCCGCGUGUGUGAAGAAGGCCUUCGGGUUGUAAAGCACUUUCAGCGGGGAGGAAGGCGUUAAGGUUAAUAACCUUGGCGAUUGACGUUACCCGCAGAAGAAGCACCGGCUAACUCCGUGCCAGCAGCCGCGGUAAUACGGAGGGUGCAAGCGUUAAUCGGAAUUACUGGGCGUAAAGCGCACGCAGGCGGUCUGUCAAGUCGGAUGUGAAAUCCCCGGGCUCAACCUGGGAACUGCAUUCGAAACUGGCAGGCUAGAGUCUUGUAGAGGGGGGUAGAAUUCCAGGUGUAGCGGUGAAAUGCGUAGAGAUCUGGAGGAAUACCGGUGGCGAAGGCGGCCCCCUGGACAAAGACUGACGCUCAGGUGCGAAGGCGUGGGGAGCAAACAGGAUUAGAUACCCGGGUAGUC
rnacentral:rRNA from 1 species